rnacentral:lncRNA from 1 species
UUUGGGCUGAAAUUGUUUCAUGUAUACACAGGGAAAUUGAGGCAUCUUUGGGAUAAUAUACGAAUACAAUAGACAGCCAUUUUUGCACAGAAAGAGAGGCGGAAAGGAGUUUAACAUUGGGCUGUCGAUUGGUGGCUGAAUUGUAUUAAUUAUAUACAUACAUUGGUGCCAACAUAUGUGGAGAAAGAAUUAAAAAGGCUGGGAAUUGAAUUUGGUUUGCACAAAAAUUGGGCAGAUUUUUCAUACACGACACACGCAUUAUAGAACUGGAAAAAGAGGAGAAUUUGCGGCUGAAUUUACGAAAGCUGGAAUUGAUCUUUUGAAUCAAUAAAGUCAGCGUCUAAAUUUGCAACAUUGAGCUUUCAUCUUCAUAACCUCCACAUUAUUAUUGAAGUGAUCCAAGGUGAAUUAAUUAGUGACUCAAUCUAUAUCAACAUUGUGAUCCGGCAACCGAGUUUUGGAAAACAUCAAAGGUCGUGAAUACAACACAUCGAGUUUUCGAAUCUUUUGAGGAGGGGACUCUCUCGUUGGGGCAUUGAAAAAGUUGGACAACAAGCGCAGGAACUGGACAAGAAUAUGCGAUUCUUGAAAUUUCACUUGGUGAUACAAUAUGCUAAAAACCAGAAGGCUGCAUUGGACAACAGAUUAGAUCUUGAGACUGAAACAGCGGGUCUGAUUGGGUACGAAGUUUGAAAACUUGUACUUGCUGAACUGGAAUAGUGGAAAUCACUGGCUUGGUCCCAG